GAGGAGGAGCCCGGAGAUGGGCAUUGAGACAAGGGCCCAGGCCCUAUGGGGCGCAGCAGGUGCGAAAUCUCUGCAAUAGGUGAAAGCUUGACAGGGUUACUCUGAGUGAUUCCCGCUAAGGGGAUCUUUUGGCACCUUUAAAAAUGGUGCAGAAUAAGGGGUGGGCAAGUCUGGUGUCAGCCGCCGCGGUAAUACCAGCACCCCGAGUGGUCGGGACGAUUAUUGGGCCUAAAGCAUCCGUAGCCGGUACUGCAAGUCUUCCGUUAAAUCCACCUGCUUAACAGUUGGGCUGCGGGGGAUACUACAGCGCUAGGAGGCGGGAGAGGCAAGCGGUACUCAAUGGGUAGGGGUAAAAUCCGCUGAUCCAUUGAAGACCACCAGUGGCGAAGGCGGCUUGCCAGAACGCGCUCGACGGUGAGGGAUGAAAGCUGGGGGAGCAAACCGGAUUAGAUACCCGGGUAGUCCCAGCUGUAAACGAUGCAGACUCGGUGAUGGGCUGGCCUUGUGCCAGCCCAGUGCCGCAGGGAAGCCGUUAAGUCUGCCGCCUGGGGAGUACGGUCGCAAGACUGAAACUUAA
rnacentral:rRNA from 1 species